GCUGAUGAGCCCACACACGCGAGAGGCACACGGGAGCAGCUGGUCGUCACAGAGUCCUGUGUUAACAGGGACUUCAGUGCUCUAGUCAAACCUUCAACUGAUUGGACGAGGCCCACCCAUGUUCAGGAGGCCAGUCUGCUUUACUCAGAGUCCACUGAUGGAUUGUUAAUCUCAUCCAAAGAACACCUGCACAAAAACAGUCAAAAUAAUGUGGGGUGAAGCAUCUGGCACAGUGGCCCCGCUGACUUGGCACAAGCCCUUUCCAGUCCGGCUUGUCCUUACCGGAGACAAGGCACCCCGCUCCAUGCACCGGCCACUCCCUGGUUUCGAAGGGCACCGCGCUGGGGCGCCUGGGGGGCUCCGUCGGUGAAGCGGGGACCUCAGCUCAGGUCAUGAUCUGGCUGUC